rnacentral:rRNA from 1 species
GUCUGAUUAGCUAGUUGGUAGGGUAAUGGCCUACCAAGGCGACGAUCAGUAGCUGGUCUGAGAGGAUGAUCAGCCACACUGGGACUGAGACACGGCCCAGACUCCUACGGGAGGCAGCAGUGGGGAAUAUUGGACAAUGGGGGCAACCCUGAUCCAGCAAUGCCGCGUGUGUGAUGAAGGCCUUAGGGUUGUAAAGCACUUUCACUGGUGAAGAUGAUGACGGUAACCAGAGAAGAAGCCCCGGCUAACUUCGUGCCAGCAGCCGCGGUAAUACGAAGGGGGCGAGCGUUGUUCGGAAUUACUGGGCGUAAAGCGUGCG